rnacentral:lncRNA from 1 species
UUAAAAUUUUACUGCGCGGAAGUUUUCAACCGUACAAACUUCAUUUGCGGUAAAACAAUUAUACUGAGGCAGUAAUAUUUUAACGUUAAAAUUUUACUUCACUCGUUAUAAUUUUACUGCUUUUUAGUUUACAAUUUAUAUAGCUUAUUUUGUCAAGAUGUACAAAAAUAUUAACUUUAAUGAUGUCAGGAAAUAUAUAAAUGACAAUGCUUUUCCUAAAGAUGUGAAUGAAAGAGGAAAAAAAGCAAAUUUUAAACGGCAGUUUAAAAACUUUGUUAUUGUUGACAAUAAGUUGAUGUAUUGCAAAAAAGGUAUUGGCGAGGUGAUUGUGGUAAUAGAUCAGGAAGAAUAAUUAAACAUUGUUAAAGAAGUCCAUGAGGGUCUCGGUACUUCUGAGAAAGCUGUUGCAUUAGCUAGCCACUUAGGAAUUAAUGCUGUGAAAAAGCAAAUUUCUUCAAGAUUUUUUUAGCAUUCAAUUGUGGAGGAUAUCACCAAAUAUGUAGCUCAAUGUGAACGAUGCCAAAUAAUCUCUAACAGAAACCUAAAAGUGUCUCCUGCUUUAAAACCUGUUAAAGUAGAACAACAAGUUAUGAAACAAGUUGGUGUAGAUUUAAUUAAAUUACCUGAAUCAAAUGGAUUCAAUUAUGUAAUUGCCCUUAUAGAUUAUUUUUCUAAGUGGACUGAAGCUGAACAUCUUAUCGAUAAGCAGCAGUAUCAGUAGCAGCCUUUCUUUAUAGAGUUAUUUGCAGGCAUGGUUGUUUUCAAAUACAAAUUAAUGACCAAGGUCGUUAAUUUGUAAAUUCAGUAUCCAUUGCACUUCAUGAUAUGACAGGCGUUCAGCACGUGUAACCACUGGUGACCAUCCACAAGCCAAUGGCCUUGUGGAGAAACAGAACCAGACAAUUAAGAAAGCAAUUGUUAAGGUCUUAAAUGAAAAUGUUAAAAGUUGGGCCUCAGUUUUAGAUGGAAUCCUUUUUGCUUUACGUGUUAAAGUGCACGACUCAAUGGGGUAUUCACCAUUUUACCUUAUGUAUAAAUAACAACCCUAUCUUCCAAUUGAUGUAAAGUACACAAAUGUACUCAAUAAGGAUAACUACAAUCCUGUAUAUGAUAAAGAAGUUUUACAAAAAGCUUUACAAAUGAAAAGAGGACUUGAAGAAAAAGCCAUGACCAAUAUUGCUUGUGCACAAAAGAAACAAAAAUUGACUAUGAUAGAAAGCAUACAACACCAUCAAAUUUUUUUGUGGGUCAAAAAGUACUAUUGAAAAACCUAAAAAGAGAAAAUAGAAAAGGUGGGAAAAUGACUGUCUUGUGGCUUGGUCCAUAUGAAAUACUUGAUAUUUUGUCAAAUUCGACAUGUUUAUUAAGAAACAUUAAAAGGAACAACACAAUAAAGAAGCAGUACUCUCUACAUCAUGUUAAACCAUUUGUUGAAGAGAAAAGUAAUUCAAAAUUGCAUAGUUUAACUUCUGAAUGCAAUGAUCAGGAUAAAAGUCAACGUAAUUCCAAAUUAAUGAAACAUCCCACCAAAGAAGUUCUCCAAAAAAUAGCUGAAGAACAAGGACUUAAAAUAUAAUGCCAGAUCUUUUUGAUGGAGAAGAAAAUGAUGUACCUUAAAAAAUACAUGUUUGCAAAGGUGAUGGCAAUUGUUUUCCAGCAUCCAUGAAACUCGACCAACUAACAGCUCAAAGUAUACUUUUAGAAAAUAAAAACAAUCAUUAUAACGUUGUUUCGUCACUAAAAGCUUUGUAAAUGAAAUGAUGUUUAAACUGAAUUAAAAUGAUGUUCGUA